UACGGGGGGGGCAAGCGUUGUUCGGAAUUACUGGGCGUAAAGGGCUCGUAGGCGGCCAACUAAGUCAGACGUGAAAUCCCUCGGCUUAACCGGGGAACUGCGUCUGAUACUGGAUGGCUUGAAUCCGGGAGAGGGAUGCGGAAUUCCAGGUGUAGCGGUGAAAUGCGUAGAGAUGUGGAGGAACACCGAUGGCGAAGGCAGCCUUCUGGGCCAACACUGACGCUCAUGCACGAAAGCGUGGGGAGCAAACAGG
rnacentral:rRNA from 1 species